rnacentral:rRNA from 1 species
GGUUAAGCGACUAAGCGUACACGGUGGAUGCCCUGGCAGUCAGAGGCGAUGAAGGACGUGCUAAUCUGCGAAAAGCGUCGGUAAGGUGAUAUGAACCGUUACAGCCGGCGAUGUCCGAAUGGGGAAACCCAGUGCAAUUCGUUGCACUAUCGUUAACUGAAUACAUAGGUUAACGAGGCGAACCGGGGGAACUGAAACAUCUAAGUACCCCGAGGAAAAGAAAUCAACCGAGAUUCCCCCAGUAGCGGCGAGCGAACGGGGAGCAGCCCAGAGUCUGAAUCAGCUUGUGUGUUAGUGGAACGGUCUGGAAAGUCCGACGGUACAGGGUGAUAGUCCCGUACACCAAAAUGCACAGGUUGUGAACUCGAAGAGUAGGGCGGGACACGUGGUAUCCUGUCUGAAUAUGGGGGGACCAUCCUCCAAGGCUAAAUACUCCUGACUGACCGAUAGUGAACCAGUACCGUGAGGGAAAGGCGAAAAGAACCCCGGCGAGGGGAGUGAAAAAGAACCUGAAACCGUGUACGUACAAGCAGUGGGAGCACCUUCGGGUGUGACUGCGUACCUUUUGUAUAAUGGGUCAGCGACUUAUAUUCUGUAGCAAGGUUAACCGUAUAGGGGAGCCGCAGGGAAACCGAGUCUUAACUGGGCGUUAAGUUGCAGGGUAUAGACCCGAAACCCGGUGAUCUAGCCAUGGGCAGGUUGAAGGUUGGGUAACACUAACUGGAGGACCGAACCGACUAAUGUUGAAAAAUUAGCGGAUGACUUGUGGCUGGGGGUGAAAGGCCAAUCAAACCGGGAGAUAGCUGGUUCUCCCCGAAAGCUAUUUAGGUAGCGCCUCGUGAAUUCAUCUUCGGGGGUAGAGCACUGUUUCGGCUAGGGGGUCAUCCCGACUUACCAACCCGAUGCAAACUACGAAUACCGAAGAAUGUUAUCACGGGAGACACACGGCGGGUGCUAACGUCCGUCGUGAAGAGGGAAACAACCCAGACCGCCAGCUAAGGUCCCAAAGUCAUGGUUAAGUGGGAAACGAUGUGGGAAGGCACAGACAGCCAGGAUGUUGGCUUAGAAGCAGCCAUCAUUUAAAGAAAGCGUAAUAGCUCACUGGUCGAGUCGGCCUGCGCGGAAGAUGUAACGGGGCUAAACCAUGCACCGAAGCUGCGGCAGCGACACUAUGUGUUGUUGGGUAGGGGAGCGUUCUGUAAGCCUGCGAAGGUGACCUGUGAGGGUUGCUGGAGGUAUCAGAAGUGCGAAUGCUGACAUAAGUAACGAUAAAGCGGGUGAAAAGCCCGCUCGCCGGAAGACCAAGGGUUCCUGUCCAACGUUAAUCGGGGCAGGGUGAGUCGACCCCUAAGGCGAGGCCGAAAGGCGUAGUCGAUGGGAAACAGGUUAAUAUUCCUGUACUUGGUGUUACUGCGAAGGGGGGACGGAGAAGGCUAUGUUAGCCGGGCGACGGUUGUCCCGGUUUAAGCAUGUAGGCUGGUUAUCCAGGCAAAUCCGGAUAAUCAAGGCUGAGGUGUGAUGACGAGGCACUACGGUGCUGAAGUAACAAAUGCCCUGCUUCCAGGAAAAGCCUCUAAGCAUCAGGUAACAUCAAAUCGUACCCCAAACCGACACAGGUGGUCAGGUAGAGAAUACCAAGGCGCUUGAGAGAACUCGGGUGAAGGAACUAGGCAAAAUGGUGCCGUAACUUCGGGAGAAGGCACGCUGGUGUGUAGGUGAAGUCCCUGCGGAUGGAGCUGAGACCAGUCGAAGAUACCAGCUGGCUGCAACUGUUUAUUAAAAACACAGCACUGUGCAAACACGAAAGUGGACGUAUACGGUGUGACGCCUGCCCGGUGCCGGAAGGUUAAUUGAUGGGGUUAUCCGUAAGGAGAAGCUCUUGAUCGAAGCCCCGGUAAACGGCGGCCGUAACUAUAACGGUCCUAAGGUAGCGAAAUUCCUUGUCGGGUAAGUUCCGACCUGCACGAAUGGCGUAAUGAUGGCCAGGCUGUCUCCACCCGAGACUCAGUGAAAUUGAACUCGCUGUGAAGAUGCAGUGUACCCGCGGCAAGACGGAAAGACCCCGUGAACCUUUACUAUAGCUUGACACUGAACAUUGAGCCUUGAUGUGUAGGAUAGGUGGGAGGCUUUGAAGCGUGGACGCCAGUCUGCGUGGAGCCAACCUUGAAAUACCACCCUUUAAUGUUUGAUGUUCUAACGUUGGCCCCUGACCGGGGUUGCGGACAGUGUCUGGUGGGUAGUUUGACUGGGGCGGUCUCCUCCCAAAGCGUAACGGAGGAGCACGAAGGUUAGCUAAUCCUGGUCGGACAUCAGGAGGUUAGUGCAAUGGCAUAAGCUAGCUUGACUGCGAGCGUGACGGCGCGAGCAGGUGCGAAAGCAGGUCAUAGUGAUCCGGUGGUUCUGAAUGGAAGGGCCAUCGCUCAACGGAUAAAAGGUACUCCGGGGAUAACAGGCUGAUACCGCCCAAGAGUUCAUAUCGACGGCGGUGUUUGGCACCUCGAUGUCGGCUCAUCACAUCCUGGGGCUGAAGUAGGUCCCAAGGGUAUGGCUGUUCGCCAUUUAAAGUGGUACGCGAGCUGGGUUUAGAACGUCGUGAGACAGUUCGGUCCCUAUCUGCCGUGGGCGCUGGAGAAUUGAGGGGGGCUGCUCCUAGUACGAGAGGACCGGAGUGGACGCAUCACUGGUGUUCGGGUUGUCAUGCCAAUGGCACUGCCCGGUAGCUAAAUGCGGAAGAGAUAAGUGCUGAAAGCAUCUAAGCACGAAACUUGCCCCGAGAUGAGUUCUCCCUGAGACUUUAAGUCUCCUGAAGGAACGUUGAAGACGACGACGUUGAUAGGCCGGGUGUGUAAGCGCAGCGAUGCGUUGAGCUAACCGGUACUAAUGAACCGUGAGGCUUAACCUU